UUGAAUAUAUUUUUGAAAAAUGUAAGUAAAAUGAAACGUUUAUUAGUUUUUGUAUUAUUAGACAUGCCUUAUUGUGUGUAUAAUUGUAGAAUGGCUACGACAAAAAGAAACCGAGCUACGAUGGAGCAGAUAAUUCGAAUGAUGGAUUUUUUUGAAGAAACGCCGGGUCUGGCAGGGUCUCGGUUCCAGCAGCUCCAUGGAAAAUCAGACUGCGAUGGGAAGUGGAGCGAAUUAGCUAGUGCACUGUAUUGCCUUGGUGGUGCUGUGAAAAGCGUAGAUCAAUGGCGAACAGUAUGGAGGGAUCUGAAAAGCCGUACAAGCAUCAAGGUCCGAGACAGGAAAAGAAAGCGGGCAAUGACAGGAAAGAAUCCCAUUGAUGAGGAAUUGGAGAGACGAGUCAUUGCCCUUAUAGGUAAUGACUAUGUCCAGGGCCUCGAAAACGUUCCUGAAACUGUGCCUAUAUAGGAGGACCUGCAACUUCGAUUAGAGGAGGGUGAAGAAAGCAUAAUUAUCGAGAUGCUUUCAUUUUCAAAUGGGGUCGACUCAAGCCUCAAAUCACGUGGAGGCAGUAAGAGAAGACGUGUGGAAGAUGUGAGUGAUACGCGAAACGCAUUUUUGAAAAUUGCGCAAACACAAGCGAAUGCUUGGAACAUUCGGAACACAUCUAGAAUAUGUUUUCAUGUCGUUUCGUUUUUCUCAAAAAAUGUUAGCAGAGUCGAGUGCAGCAUCCACCCAAAUUGCAAGCAGGUAAGCUGACGCCUUGCAGAAGUAAAGCAGUUAAGAACAUGAGAGAUUCUUCUUUAAGAAACUUUAAUGUGAUGAUAAGUAGUAUUUAAACCCAUAUAAAAAUACUCAUCUGUGAUUAU